CGCGCAGUAGAGCAGUGGCAGCUCGGUAGUCUCAUAAUCUACAGGCCCUAGGUUCGAUUCCUAGCUGCGCUACCA
rnacentral:tRNA from 1 species